rnacentral:rRNA from 1 species
AGCCUGACGGAGCAACGCCGUGUGAGUGAAGACGGUUUUCGGAUUGUAAAACUCUGUCGUUCGGGACGAGUGACUAGGAGAGGGAAUGCUCUUGGUGAGACGGUACCGAAGGAGGAAGCCCCGGCUAACUACGUGCCAGCAGCCGCGGUAAUACGUAGGGGGCAAGCGUUGUCCGGAAUGACUGGGCGUAAAGCGCGCGCAGGCGGUCUUUUGCGUCUGAGGUGAAAGGCGAUGGCUCAACCAUCGGAAUGCCUUGGAAACGGGGAGACUUGAGGGUCGGAGAGGCAAGGGGAAUUCCACGUGUAGCGGUGAAAUGCGUAGAGAUGUGGAGGAAUACCAGUGGCGAAGGCGCCUUGCUGGACGAAACCUGACGCUGAGGCGCGAAGGCGUGGGGAGCAAACAGGAUUAGAUACCCUGGUAGUCCACGCGGUAAACGAUGAGUGCUAGGUGUCGGAGGGUACCACCUCCGGUGCCGAAGGAAACCCAAUAAGCACUCCGCCUGGGGAGUACGGUCGCAAGACUGAAACUCAAAGGAAUUGACGGGGGCCCGCACAAGCAGUGGAGCAUGUGGUUUAAUUCGAAGCAACGCGAAGAACCUUACCAGGGCUUGACAUCGGUCUGACCGGGUUAGAGAUAGCCCUUCCCUUCGGGGCAGACUAGACAGGUGGUGCAUGGUUGUCGUCAGCUCGUGUCGUGAGAUGUUGGGUUAAGUCCCGCAACGAGCGCAACCCUUGAUCUGUGUUACCAGCACGUAAUGGUGGGGACUCACAGAUGACUGCCGGUGACAAACCGGAGGAAGGCGGGGAUGACGUCAA